rnacentral:rRNA from 1 species
UACAGAGGGUGCGAGCGUUAAUCGGAAUUACUGGGCGUAAAGCGCACGUAGGUGGCUUGGCAAGUCGGGUGUGAAAUCCCCGGGCUCAACCUGGGAAUUGCAUUCGAAACUAUCUGACUCGAGUAUGGGAGAGGGAAGCGGAAUUUCCGGUGUAGCGGUGAAAUGCGUAGAUAUCGGAAGGAACACCAGUGGCGAAGGCGGCUUCCUGGACUAAUACUGACGCUGAGGUGCGAAAGCGUGGGGAGCAAACAGGGAUUAAGAA